CCAGCUCACCCGGCAUGGCCCCCAGUGCUUGUAAGUAGCAUGAGGACACCCCCAGGGACACCUCCAGGGCCCUGCUGAGGGCUCUUGGCCCCACCAAAGGACCAGUGGUCUCGGCACCACACUCAGCCUCGCUUCUCCUCCCCACAGCUGCCGUGAGACCAACCUCUACUGGUACCAGGAUAAUCGGUGCAAGAGCCGGGUCAGCAAGAUGGCUGUGGGCAUGGGCCUGGCCGUGGCGGUCUUGUGCUUGGUCAUCUUUGGCCUUGCUGCCUUCAUCUUCAGGUCCAGGAGGCAGAAGUCGUUGGACAGGUACAGCAACCUGACAGAGACCAAGAAGCAGUGGUACGAGGAAGAGGAUGAGAACUGGAAACUCCCUGGGGGCUUCACCAUCCAGAAUGAUGGUAUGGGGUUGGAGGGGGGAACCCACUGACCCCCACGAUGGGAUGAUGAGAUGGGGGGGUUAGUGGAACCCCCACCCGGGGCAUCCCCAUUGAGCUCCUUCACCCCACAGAUGUCUAUGAGGACACCAUGCGGGUUGACCUGCAGUCCGUGGACACCUUGGCAAAGGUAGGUCCCCCCACCCACCUGAAGGGGGCGACAUAUGAGGGGUAGCACCCCCACCGAUCUAAUGGACUCACCAUGUGACCCCCCCCCCCCCCCCACCUUAAAAAAUUCCCCCCAGGUCCAAAUCCAGAGGCCAGAGAGGAUCACCUCGGAGCUCUGAGCAGGGAGGAGGGGACACCAGGAGGCUGCCUCCUCUCCCCCCAGGGAGCCACACAGCACUGGGGGAUAACCCUUGCUUUUCGGGAGGUAUCAUGACCUCAAGUUGGGGAUCAUGGCCCUCACUUUUAUGGUCAUGACCCCCACCCUUCCUAUAGCACUUCAUUUGGCCC
rnacentral:lncRNA from 1 species